rnacentral:rRNA from 1 species
CGGGACGGGUGGGUAAUGUCUGGGGAAACUGCCUGAUGGAGGGGGAUAACUACUGGAAACGGUAGCUAAUACCGCAUAACGUCGCAAGACCAAAGAGGGGGACCUUCGGGCCUCUUGCCAUCGGAUGUGCCCAGAUGGGAUUAGCUAGUAGGUGGGGUAACGGCUCACCUAGGCGACGAUCCCUAGCUGGUCUGAGAGGAUGACCAGCCACACUGGAACUGAGACACGGUCCAG